rnacentral:rRNA from 5 species
UUAAGUUAUUAAGGGCGCACGGUGGAUGCCUUGGCACUAGAAGCCGAUGAAGGACGUUACUAACGACGAUAUGCUUUGGGGAGCUGUAAGUAAGCUUUGAUCCAGAGAUUUCCGAAUGGGGAAACCCAGCAUGAGUUAUGUCAUGUUAUCGAUAUGUGAAUACAUAGCAUAUCAGAAGGCACACCCGGAGAACUGAAACAUCUUAGUACCCGGAGGAAGAGAAAGAAAAUUCGAUUCCCUUAGUAGCGGCGAGCGAAACGGGAAGAGCCCAAACCAACAAGCUUGCUUGUUGGGGUUGUAGGACACUCUAUACGGAGUUACAAAGGACGACAUUAGACGAAUCAUCUGGAAAGAUGAAUCAAAGAAGGUAAUAAUCCUGUAGUCGAAAAUGUUGUCUCUCUUGAGUGGAUCCUGAGUACGACGGAGCACGUGAAAUUCCGUCGGAAUUUGGGAGGACCAUCUCCUAAGGCUAAAUACUCUCUAGUGACCGAUAGCGAACCAGUACCGUGAGGGAAAGGUGAAAAGCACCCCGGAAGGGGAGUGAAAUAGAACCUGAAACCGUGUGCUUACAAGUAGUCAGAGCCCGUUAAUGGGUGAUGGCGUGCCUUUUGUAGAAUGAACCGGCGAGUUACGAUUUGAUGCAAGGUUAAGCAGUAAAUGUGGAGCCGUAGCGAAAGCGAGUCUGAAUAGGGCGUUUAGUAUUUGGUCGUAGACCCGAAACCAGGUGAUCUACCCUUGGUCAGGUUGAAGUUCAGGUAACACUGAAUGGAGGACCGAACCGACUUACGUUGAAAAGUGAGCGGAUGAACUGAGGGUAGCGGAGAAAUUCCAAUCGAACCUGGAGAUAGCUGGUUCUCUCCGAAAUAGCUUUAGGGCUAGCCUCAAGUGAUGAUUAUUGGAGGUAGAGCACUGUUUGGACGAGGGGCCCCUCUCGGGUUACCGAAUUCAGACAAACUCCGAAUGCCAAUUAAUUUAACUUGGGAGUCAGAACAUGGGUGAUAAGGUCCGUGUUCGAAAGGGAAACAGCCCAGACCACCAGCUAAGGUCCCAAAAUAUAUGUUAAGUGGAAAAGGAUGUGGCGUUGCCCAGACAACUAGGAUGUUGGCUUAGAAGCAGCCAUCAUUUAAAGAGUGCGUAAUAGCUCACUAGUCGAGUGACACUGCGCCGAAAAUGUACCGGGGCUAAACAUAUUACCGAAGCUGUGGAUUGUCCUUUGGACAAUGGUAGGAGAGCGUUCUAAGGGCGUUGAAGCAUGAUCGUAAGGACAUGUGGAGCGCUUAGAAGUGAGAAUGCCGGUGUGAGUAGCGAAAGACGGGUGAGAAUCCCGUCCACCGAUUGACUAAGGUUUCCAGAGGAAGGCUCGUCCGCUCUGGGUUAGUCGGGUCCUAAGCUGAGGCCGACAGGCGUAGGCGAUGGAUAACAGGUUGAUAUUCCUGUACCACCUAUAAUCGUUUUAAUCGAUGGGGGGACGCAGUAGGAUAGGCGAAGCGUGCGAUUGGAUUGCACGUCUAAGCAGUAAGGCUGAGUAUUAGGCAAAUCCGGUACUCAUUAAGGCUGAGCUGUGAUGGGGAGAAGACAUUGUGUCUUCGAGUCGUUGAUUUCACACUGCCGAGAAAAGCCUCUAGAUAGAAAAUAGGUGCCCGUACCGCAAACCGACACAGGUAGUCAAGAUGAGAAUUCUAAGGUGAGCGAGCGAACUCUCGUUAAGGAACUCGGCAAAAUGACCCCGUAACUUCGGGAGAAGGGGUGCUCUUUAGGGUUAACGCCCAGAAGAGCCGCAGUGAAUAGGCCCAAGCGACUGUUUAUCAAAAACACAGGUCUCUGCUAAACCGUAAGGUGAUGUAUAGGGGCUGACGCCUGCCCGGUGCUGGAAGGUUAAGAGGAGUGGUUAGCUUCUGCGAAGCUACGAAUCGAAGCCCCAGUAAACGGCGGCCGUAACUAUAACGGUCCUAAGGUAGCGAAAUUCCUUGUCGGGUAAGUUCCGACCCGCACGAAAGGCGUAACGAUUUGGGCACUGUCUCAACGAGAGACUCGGUGAAAUCAUAGUACCUGUGAAGAUGCAGGUUACCCGCGACAGGACGGAAAGACCCCGUGGAGCUUUACUGUAGCCUGAUAUUGAAAUUCGGCACAGCUUGUACAGGAUAGGUAGGAGCCUUUGAAACGUGAGCGCUAGCUUACGUGGAGGCGCUGGUGGGAUACUACCCUAGCUGUGUUGGCUUUCUAACCCGCACCACUUAUCGUGGUGGGAGACAGUGUCAGGCGGGCAGUUUGACUGGGGCGGUCGCCUCCUAAAAGGUAACGGAGGCGCUCAAAGGUUCCCUCAGAAUGGUUGGAAAUCAUUCAUAGAGUGUAAAGGCAUAAGGGAGCUUGACUGCGAGACCUACAAGUCGAGCAGGGUCGAAAGACGGACUUAGUGAUCCGGUGGUUCCGCAUGGAAGGGCCAUCGCUCAACGGAUAAAAGCUACCCCGGGGAUAACAGGCUUAUCUCCCCCAAGAGUUCACAUCGACGGGGAGGUUUGGCACCUCGAUGUCGGCUCAUCGCAUCCUGGGGCUGUAGUCGGUCCCAAGGGUUGGGCUGUUCGCCCAUUAAAGCGGUACGCGAGCUGGGUUCAGAACGUCGUGAGACAGUUCGGUCCCUAUCCGUCGUGGGCGUAGGAAAUUUGAGAGGAGCUGUCCUUAGUACGAGAGGACCGGGAUGGACAUACCUCUGGUGUACCAGUUGUCGUGCCAACGGCAUAGCUGGGUAGCUAUGUGUGGACGGGAUAAGUGCUGAAAGCAUCUAAGCAUGAAGCCCCCCUCAAGAUGAGAUUUCCCAACUUCGGUUAUAAGAUCCCUCAAAGAUGAUGAGGUUAAUAGGUUCGAGGUGGAAGCAUGGUGACAUGUGGAGCUGACGAAUACUAAUCGAUCGAAGACUUAAUCAA